GGCUUACACAAAUAAACUAGAGAAUAAUGUUUUCAGAUCAGAAAAAACAAUGAAGAGAGUCUUCGGCGCCAAAAAGAACAAAGAACUUCCCCUUUCUUUCGAAGAUGCCAACGAAAGGAUUACGAAACGAGGUGAUAUUGUGAGUGAGAAGAUUAGGAAGCUUGAUGUGGAACUCUGUAGAUACAAAGAAUAGAUAAAAAAACAAGGCCUUGUCCUACUCUGGAAGCUAUUAAAUCUAGAGCCAUGUAUGAAGGUCAACGCGACAUGUUGUACAAUCAGACAUUCAACCUCGAUCAAGUUCAAUUUUCCGCUGAGGGAAUUAAAGAUGCUUAACAAACUGUAUGUAUCCAAGAGCUUAGUUUUCUAUGUGUUCCAUGUAUUAAUUUAACUCUUUUCAUAGAUCCAUCUGUAUGAAAUCUUUAU